rnacentral:rRNA from 1 species
GGGAGGAAGGGAGUAAAGUUAAUACCUUUGCUCAUUGACGUUACCCGCAGAAGAAGCACCGGCUAACUCCGUGCCAGCAGCCGCGGUAAUACGGAGGGUGCAAGCGUUAAUCGGAAUUACUGGGCGUAAAGCGCACGCAGGCGGUUUGUUAAGUCAGAUGUGAAAUCCCCGGGCUCAACCUGGGAACUGCAUCUGAUACUGGCAAGCUUGAGUCUCGUAGAGGGGGGUAGAAUUCCAGGUGUAGCGGUGAAAUGCGUAGAGAUCUGGAGGAAUACCGGUGGCGAAGGCGGCCCCCUGGACG